rnacentral:rRNA from 1 species
UCAGUUCGGAUUGUAGGCUGCAACUCGCCUACAUGAAGUCGGAAUCGCUAGUAAUCGCGGAUCAGCACGCCGCGGUGAAUACGUUCCCGGGCCUUGUACACACCGCCCGUCACACCACGAGAGUUUGUAACACCCGAAGUCGGUGAGGUAACCUAUUAGGAGCCAGCCGCCUAAGGUGGGAUAGAUGAUUGGGGUGAAGUCGUAACAAGGUAUC